GGUCAGGAUAUUAAAAUCAGCCAAAGGCCAAUUAUUCUGGCAGAGGAACUGGUUUUGCCAUCUCUUUCUGGAUUACCCAUGAGGCUAAACAUCAACAUGUCCACUCUGUUCUCCCUCAAACUUACAGGCAUCGCUAACUACAACAAUUGGUUGCAUUUCUCAAUGGCUGGCUAUGUCAAACCAAAGUAUGUCUGAUGAAGUUUUAAAAACGUGGUGUCAGGUUGAAGUCAUGAUGACAAGUCAUCUCCUGUUUGUGCUUGUACACAGUGCAAUGGUCACCAUCUCUGUGAGAGCUGGAGUGGAUGGAGCCUUUGGUCUUGUGGGAUUUUUGUGAAUGUUUAGCAUAUUUUUCCAUCUUUUUAACACAGCGCAGAUUGAUGAAUUAAACAACCAACAUUCAGGCAGAAUCAAACUACUGAUAGACAACAUCCACCAUUAUUUUAUCAAGGGACUACUGGAGACAGUGAAUCUUCCUUCAGAGACGAAAGCCCACAUUAAUCUUGAUGCCAAAGUAGUAGCAGAUGGGCAUCCAUUCUCCCUCUCAGUCAACACCACACAUGCUCGCAGCAGGAGGUUCAUAAUACAGGCUUUGCCUAAAAAUGUCUUCAUUAAAGAUGCAUCGCUCUCAGGUGUGCUCAUCAAUAGUCCAGUCUUUCAGCACUGA
ensembl:lncRNA